rnacentral:rRNA from 1 species
AGCUCCAAUAGCGUAUAUUAAAGUUGUUGCGGUUAAAAAGCUCGUAGUUGGAUUUCUGUCAGUGAGUUGCAGUCCGCCCACAGCGGUUGGUACUUGCUACGCCACUGGCAUCUUCCUGGGGAAUGUGUCUGCUCUUUAUUGAGUGGCGCACAAUCCAGGACUUUUACUUUGAAGAAAUGAGAGUGUUUCAAGCAGGCAUGCGCCGUGAAUACGUUAGCAUGGGAUAAUAGCAUCGGACCUCGUUCCAAAGCUGUUGGUUUCUUGGACCGAGGUAAAGGUGAAUAGGGAUUGUUGGGGGCAUUCGUAUUUGACUGUCAGAGGUGAAAUUCUUGGAUUUGUUGAAGACGGACUACUGCGAAAGCAUCUGCCAAAGAUGUUCUCA